GACGAACGCUGGCGGCGUGCUUAACACAUGCAAGUCGAGUGGUAAGGCCCUUUCGGGGGUACGACGAGCGGCGAACGGGUAGGAGUAACACGUGGGUGGACCUCGCCCUCCAGCUCUGGGAGUAAGACCUGGGAAACCGGGUACUAAUAACUGGAUAUGACUCCAUGACGCAUGUUGUGGGGUGGAAAGACCUUGUGCGGCUGAGGAUGGGCCCGCGGCCUAUCAGCUUGUUGGUGGGGUGANGGCCUACCAAGGCGACGACGGGUAGCCGGCCUGAGAGGGCGACCGGCCACACUGGGACUGAGACACGGCCCAGACUCCUACGGGAGGCAGCAGUGGGGAAUCUUGCGCAAUGGGCGAAAGCCUGACGCAGCGACGCCGCGUGAGGGAUGACGGCCU
rnacentral:rRNA from 1 species